GCCUAUGUGGUCUAGUCGUAUGAUACUCCCUUCGGGUUAACACCGCCUUCACGGGCAUGAUUGGGAGUGGUCCCCGGUUCAAUUCCGGGCAUGGGCC